GGGGAAUAUUGGACAAUGGGCGCAAGCCUGAUCCAGCCAUGCCGCGUGGGUGAAGAAGGCCUUCGGGUUGUAAAGCCCUUUUGUUGGGAAAGAAAAGCAGCCGGCCAAUACCCGGUUGUUCUGACGGUACCCAAAGAAUAAGCACCGGCUAACUUCGUGCCAGCAGCCGCGGUAAUACGAAGGGUGCAAGCGUUACUCGGAAUUACUGGGCGUAAAGCGUGCGUAGGUGGUGGUUUAAGUCCGUUGUGAAAGCCCUGGGCUCAACCUGGGAACUGCAGUGGAUACUGGAUCACUAGAGUGUGGCAGAGGGUAGUGGAAUUCCCGGUGUAGCAGUGAAAUGCGUAGAGAUCGGGAGGAACAUCAGUGGCGAAGGCGACUGCCUGGGCCAACACUGACACUGAGGCACGAAAGCGUGGGGAGCAAAC
rnacentral:rRNA from 1 species